rnacentral:misc_RNA from 1 species
GAUGAAGAACGUAGCGAAAUGCGAUAAUUAAUGUGAAUUGCAGAAUUUAGUGAAUCAUCGAAUCUUUGAACGCACAUUGCGCCCCUUGGUAUUCCGGGGGGCAUGCCUGUUCGAGCGUCAUUUCAACCCUCAAGCCCCCGGGCCUGGCGUUGGGGAUCGGCGGAGCCCCCCGUGGGCACACGCCGUCCCCCAAAUACAGUGGCGGUCCCGCCGCAGCUUCCAUCGCGUAGUAGCUAACACCUCGCGACUGGAGAGCGGCGCGGCCACGCCGUAAAACACCCAACUCUUCUGAAGUUGACCUCGAAUCAGGUAGGAAUACCCGCUGAACUUAAGCAUAUCAAUAAGCGGAGGA